rnacentral:rRNA from 1 species
AUUGAACGCUGGCGGCAGGCCUAACACAUGCAAGUCGAGCGGAGCGGCGGACGGGUGAGUAAUGCUUAGGAAUCUGCCUGGUAGUGGGGGAUAACGUUCGGAAACGGGCGCUUAUACCGCAUCCUAUCAGAUGAGCCUUGGCCGGAUUAGCUAGUUGGUGGGGUAAAGGCCUACCAAGGCGACGAUACGUAACUGGUCUGGGAGGAUGAUUAGGCACACUGGAACGGAGACACGGUCCAGACUCCUACGGGAGGCAGCAGUGGGGAAUAUUGGACAAUGGGCGAAAGCCUGAUCCAGCCAUGCCGCGUGUGUGAAGAAGGUCUUCGGAUGGUAAAGCACUUUAAGUUGGGAGGCGUUACCAGCAGAAUAAGCACCGGCUAACUUCGUGCCAGCCGCCGCGGUAAUAC